AUUGAACGUUGGCGGAAUGCUUUACACAUGCAAGUCGAACGGUAGAGGGGGCAACCCCUCGAGAGUGGCGAACGGGUGAGUAAUAUAUCGGAACGUGCCCAGUCGUGGGGGAUAACGUAGCGAAAGUUACGCUAAUACCGCAUACGAUCUAAGGAUGAAAGCGGGGGAUCGCAAGACCUCGCGCGAUUGGAGCGGCCGAUAUCAGAGUAGGUAGUUGGUGGGGUAAAGGCUCACCAAGCCAACGAUCUGUAGCUGGUCUGAGAGGACGACCAGCCACACUGGAACUGAGACACGGUCCAGACUCCUACGGGAGGCAGCAGUGGGGAAUUUUGGACAAUGGACGCAAGUCUGAUCCAGCCAUUCCGCGUGCAGGAUGAAGGCCCUCGGGUUGUAAACUGCUUUUGUACGGAACGAAAAGGUCUCUCUUAAUACGGGGGGCUCAUGACGGUACCGUAAGAAUAAGCACCGGCUAACUACGUGCCAGCCGCCGCCGUAA
rnacentral:rRNA from 1 species